rnacentral:lncRNA from 1 species
GAUGUUCAUAUAUUUCGCUAUCAACUCUUAUUUCGUGAUCCACCUCAGAUCAGAAAUUCAAAUGUACAAUCCUGGUCCUGGAUGGAGAUCACACCGGAAAUAUCACAACUCAAAGUGGCAGUUCAUAGUUGAUUACAGCAGCAACAGCCUAAACCAUACUAGUAAGUACUUGGGAACAUUGAUGUGAAAGUGGGAAUCAUCUUGGAUAAUCUAGAGCCUCCACUCCAGUACACGUCCCUGGCAGCAUCAGCAUUGUUGUGGUCGAUGACGCCGGCGCUGGCGCACUGCGAAGUCCAUGGUCCUGCGGGAGACGAGAGACGGGAUGCCAAGUUGCCGACGCAGAGCGGGAGACAGCGGAGGCCGACUCGACGCAGUCGGUAGUUUGGGCACACAGCGCAACGGCGGACUGCGCGGCGGCCAUGCCAAGUCCAAACUCACAGCCCAUCUGUUAGACCUAGACAACAAAAUUCAUGGAAUAUUGGAAAAGGGGAAGCAACUAAAUGAUAAAAGAGGUCCAAAUUCAACAUGCGUUUCACUUACAGAUUUACAUCUCCCUAAAGUUCUCAACAGCAGAAGUUAAAACUUAAAAGUUCUUGAGAAACAGCUACACAGUUCACACAAGAUUGGAAAAGGAAAGUGAAACUAAAUGACCAGAUGUAACACUACACCAUGUUGUGAAAUUCAUCGAUGCAGUGGCAACAUGCAAUGAUUGGCCCAAUCACAAAUCCAACAACAUGAGCAAAAAAGAACUUGAAUGAAUCCAGCAGAGCCAUGCGGAGCCUAGUAC